ensembl:lncRNA
GUCAAGUAAGAAGCUAAUUGAUGUUCUUUAAGUACUUCUGAGACACUUGGCUAAUUUUCAGUUGGAAUGCCUUGUUUACAGGAAGAAUUUAUAAAUGGAGGCGGUGAGCAGUUGAUUUUCUGAAUCUUUGUUGACUCAGCCUGACUUGUCUUUUUUUCUGCUUAUAGAUCUCAUUACCUUAAGUUCUUCAAUUAGGCAUUCAUGCCAUGCCGUGGCACGUUCUGCUUAACUAGGCUUGUUUUCACUACUGACUGUCCUAAUAGGGCAUGUGUUAGGGGCCUGUAUAUUAGCCUUUGGGAACACCUGUAGCACUAUUUGGAACUUUCAGGAGCAAGCUUAGGAAAUCCUGAUCGCAUUUUAAGAUGCACUGAAUGUUCAAAAGCUGUGCUGACAACGUAAACAGGGAGUAAAAACUCACAGGAGAGGGGGCUUCCCAGGUGGUCCGGUGGUUAAGACUCUGUGCUUCCAAUGCAUGGGGUGGGGAACUAAGACCCAGUGUGGCCUCACGACAUUGCCAAAAAAAAAGCAGAAGAAAAAAAAGAAAAGGAAGAAGGGAACUUAAAGACAGAUCUGUUAUAUUUGAGGGACAUAUGUGUGUGCUCAGUUGCUCAGUCGUGUCUGACUCUGUGACCCCACUGACUGCAGCCUGCCAGGCUCCUCUCUCCAUGGGAUUUUCCAGGCAAGAAUACUGGAGUGCAUUGCCAUUUCCUACUCCAAUUUGAAGGACAGAAGCUAUUGUUUUUUUUUUUUUCCUUCUUUGGUCAUACAGCUUGUGGGAUGUUCAUUCCUGGACAAGAGAUCGAACUCAUGCCCCUUGCAUUGGAAGUAUGGAAUCUUAACCAUUGGACUGCUAGGAAAGUCUGGACAAUAGCUAAUUUUUAGAAUGUUAAUUGGUCAUUACAGAUUACAUGUCUUAUGUAGAUAACUAGUUUCAUAUUAGGCUAAGCUUCCUGAUGUGAAACUAGUACAAAACUUUAUUAUAAUUUUUAAAAUUUUCAUUGGAGUACAAUUGAUUUACAGUGUUGUGUUAGUUUUAUGUGUACAGCAAAAUGAAUUAGUUAUACAUGUACUUGUAUCCACUCUUUUUUUAAAUCAGUAGACUCUUUGCCCAUAUAGACUAUUACUGAAUACUGAGUAGGGUUCCUUGUGCUAUCCAGUAGGUUCUUAUUAGCAAAACAUUUUUCACAGCCACAUGCAAGGUAGCGAGGAAAUGAAUUAAAUCCUCAUUUUGAUAAUAUGUGCUUUGUUUUGGAGCUCAGUUUAACUCAGUAUUCUUACUACAAAUAGCCGUGAACUGCUCAAACCAUUCCUCCUUUUGCCAGAUUAUAAAAAAAAACAAAAAAACAGCCUCCUUUAAAAGGUAACAUCAAAGCAAGGACUUUUGGGUUGAGCCAUUUAGCAGUCUAAAGAAUGCCAUCCUUGGAGCCUCAGAAGAUGACCUUUUGUCUUUCUGGCAUUGAUGGACCAAAGGGAAGAGUAACCUUGGGACUCUAAUCUAGAAAUUGUCAUGCAUUGUUCUAAAUAUAAGCCACAAAACUGCUCAAUCAUUUAUAUAUAGAAAAGAUCUUGAGUGGUGGUUGUCAGCACUUUCUUCUAAAGUCAAAGCAUUACAGAGAGAACAAGUUCUUAUCUGACUUAAACUCACUGAUAAUUCCUGAAUCAUGCCAUUUGAAGGUUGCUGGGGGUCACCAAUGGCUUGGUUGUGAUUGAUCUAGAAGUCUUGCUGAGUGGAUUGUGAGUCUGGCCAUCAUCGUGGGAAGUGACCACUGGCAUCUGCCUCCCUCUUAGGGAGUAACUUUAAUCAUUACUUUCCAUAGGACUAAAAUCCCCUUCUCCUGGGUAUUAACAUUUUGGGGAAACUAGGUAAUCAGUGGGGACCCACUGACAGAGCAUUUUGCUGAAAAUUUUAAACAAUUUCCUGGUAUAAGAACACAGUCUUGCUUAGCAUAAUUUGUCAGGUUAUAUGCAUUUUAUAUUUCUCUGACACCUAUAACUCAAACUGUAAUUCCCUUGUGAAAAAAAAUAAGUGCUUACCAUUCUUCUUCAGACAGCUAGUUUUUAAAUCUUCUUUAUCAUUUCUCCAUUUAAAAUCAGAUGCCUUAGUUAAAUUGCAACAUGCAAUUCAUGUUGACAUUUUCAGUAUUUCUUUCUCACUGCAAUGCAGUUGAUUUGUUAAAAUUUCAGAUUCCAGGAUCAGACUGUUGGGUCCAAAUCCUGCCAACACCACCUACCAGCUGUGUGAUUUGGACAAGUUGCUUAACCUCUCUGGGCUUCAGUUAGCUCAUCUGAGAAUGGGAAUCAUAAUGGGACUUACUGUGUAAGGUUUUACAGGAACUAAAUGAGAUAAUACAUGCCACAAACAGAAACCUAUUCAAACUAGUUUAAGUAAGAUUUCCUUUUUUGAAAUCAUAGGGCUACCUGGGACUUCGCAGGUGGAUCAGUGGUAAAGAAUCCAAAGCAGAUGUGGGUUUGAUCCCUGGGUCAGGAAGAUCCCCUGGAGAAGGAAAU